UACGUAGGGUGCAAGCGUUAAUCGGAAUUACUGGGCGUAAAGCGUGCGCAGGCGGUUUUGUAAGUCUGACGUGAAAGUCCGGGGCUCAACCUGGGAAUUGCGAUGGAGACUGCAAGGCUUGAAUCUGGCAGAGGGGGGUAGAAUUCCACGUGUAGCAGUGAAAUGCGUAGAGAUGUGGAGGAACACCGAUGGCGAAGGCAGCCCCCUGGGUCAAGAUUGACGCUCAUGCACGAAAGCGUGGGGAGCAAACAGG
rnacentral:rRNA from 1 species